AACGUUGGGUUAAGGUGCCUAACUUUUCGCUCAUGAGACCCCAUAAAAGGCGUUGGUUGAUAUAGACAGCAGGACGGUGGCCAUGGAAGUCGGUACCCGCUAAGGAGUGUGUAACAACUCACCUGCCGAAUCAACUAGCCCUGAAAAUGGAUGGCGCUUGAGCGAGAGACCUAUACCCAACCGUUGCUGGCUUGUGCGUGCCUGUCGCCUGGCUGCAACGAGUAGGAGGGUCGUGGCGGUUGCGUCGAAGGUUUUGGGCGUAGGCCCAACUGGAGCUUCCGUCAGUGCAGAUCUCGGUGGUAGUAGCAAAUAUUUAAGUUCGAUCCUUGAAGACUGAAGUGGAGAAGGGUUCCACGUGAACAGUAGUUGAAUGUGGGUCAGUCGAUCCUAAGAUACUGGCUUAUGCCUUGUAUCAUCGAGAGGGAAAAGUCUCUUUUCUCUCGGAUAUCAAAAGGGAAUAGGGUUAAUAUUCCCUAACGCAGACACAGAGAUUGUGGCUCUUACGAGUCACUUGCGCGGUAACGCAUUCGAACUUGGUUACGUCGCUCAGAGACCGAGCUAGAGUUCUCUUCUCUAGUUAAGGAACGGACUCCCUGGAAUCGGUUCAGCCGUAGAUAGGGACGUUGUUUCCGUAAAGCAUCGCGGUUUCUGUGAUGUCUCGUGUUCUCUGGACGGCCCUUGAAAAACCAAGGGAGGCUAUUAAUCUGUGCUGCAUCGUACCGAUAUCCGCAUCAGGUCUCCAAGGUGAACAGCCUCUAGUCGAUAGAAUAAUGUAGGUAAGGGAAGUCGGCAAAUUAGAUCCGUAACUUCGGGAAAAGGAUUGGCUCCAGUGACCGGGUCGGUUGGCUUGUUAACUGAUGCUUGUGCGGUUUCGUCCGUGGCUGGCUGAUACUAACGUUGAUGCUGGACUAGUGACAUGACUGCCUUGUGGACGUUUUCAGGUGUGUGCUUUGUCUUCGGACUUAGUAUCCUGAUCGACCAUCAAAACGGUCGAACUGGAACUGGUACGGACUCGGGGAAUCCGACUGUCUAAUUAAAACAGAGGAGACAGAUGGUCCUUGCGGACGUUUACUGUCUCUGAUUUCUGCCCAGUGCUCUGAAUGUUAAAUCGUAGUAAUUCGAGUAAGCGCGGGUAAACGGCGGGAGUAACUAUGACUCUCUUAAGGUAGCCAAAUGCCUCGUCAGCUAACUACUGACGCGCAUGGUCAAGAACCACGGUCGACCAUGAGAGGGUGAAAGCCCUGUUAGAAGAAGGCCUGGUUAAU
rnacentral:ncRNA from 1 species